UAUGAUUGAAUCCUACAAUAACAAGAGAACAGUUGGCUGAUCAGGUGGCGAAGGAGUUACAUCUACGCUAACCAUGCUCAAGGUCAUUGGUGAUGGUGGUGAUCCAAAUGGCCACUAUGACAAGGAUGAUCAUCAAUGAGGCCUUGUGUCGAUAAUUAUAAUAACAACUUUGUGAAACAUGGUUUUGCCCCAUCUUUGCAACAUCAUAUUGUCCUAUAGUAUUGUAAUUGAUAAGUGUUUGAGCA